GUCAUUCUUUUCCCAGAGAAGUCAUUUAAAAAGACAGGACUGGAGGAAGAGACAGAGAAAAAGAUGACUUUACUACACCUACUUUUCAUUCUAUCAGCUUUGGGAGGAGCCUAUUCUCAGAUGACUCUCACUCAGUCAGGUCUAGAAAUCAAAAGGCCUGGAGACUCGGUAAAGAUCAAGUGCACUGUGAAUGGCUUGAAUGCUGCUAUGGAAACUUUUUACAUGGAUUGGCUCAGGCAGGCACCCGGAAAGACGUUCGAAGGGUUGUCUCGGUUCAGGAUACCAGGAAAAGAAGCUCAGCCUUCUGCAUUCCGAGGUCGGUUCACAGCCUCCAAAGACAUAAACAGCUUCUACCUGGAGAUGAACAACCUGAGAGAAGAGGACACUGCCAUGUAUUACUGUACUAAAGACGGCGCACAGUGA